AUCUGAUUUAUAUUUUCGAAUGAUUACUCUGGUGGCUCUACUUUGGUGCACAGAUCAGGGAAUAAAGGAAACAGGCAGACCAGUUAGCAAGCAGUUGAGUUACUUAAUUCAGGGGAAAACCAAUGGGGGCAGGCUCAGCCUGGAGAGAUGAGUGGGUCAUGGACAAAGUGUAAGGAUUAGACGGGGGCUGUGUUUGGAGAGAGAGGAAAUAGGAUUGAAAAUGAAAGAAAGAGAGGAUAAAAGCAAGGAUGAUUCUUAGGGAUCUCAAGAGUCUAGGUGAGUAAUUUUAUGUAUAUGUGUAUCCACGCACAUAUACACAUGCACAAAUAUAUGUAUGGGUGUAUAUGUGUGUAUAAUAUGUGUGUCUUUGUGUAACAGUGUAUAAAAUACCCUUUCCUCUUCUAAUAACCAUUUGCAGACUGUGGUUUCAUCUAUUUUCAGUUAGAGUUGCCAGAUAUCGGUAAUUUCAACAGCAUGAGGUUAAAAAAGAAAGAAAGAAAGAAAGAAAGAAAGCAAAUUCUGCUUUUAAGCACUUACUUGGCAGGCAGCCUGCCAAGUGCUUUAUAUAUCUUACCUCACUUUAGACUUGUGCAGUUAUUGUUUCUACCUGUUAACAUAUGAGGAGACUUGACUCAGGAGGAAAAACAAACUAACACACUCCAAAAUUAUUGAACUAAUGUUUUACAAGACAUACUGUGUGUGCUAUAUUCACUGUUGAUGAGAAAGGGUAAUGUCAUUACCUAUGGCCACUUAUGGUGGGGGCAAGAAUUUUAAAUUCUCAUUGUUGUAUUAUCUAUUUUCUGGAUCAACG
rnacentral:lncRNA from 1 species